rnacentral:rRNA from 1 species
AGUGAACGCUGGCGGCAUGCCUAACACAUGCAAGUCGAGCGGCAGCGGGUCGUUCGGGAUGCCGGCGAGCGGCGGACGGGUGGGGAAUACAUCGGAAUCUGCCCUGUCGUGGGGGAUAACCUAGGGAAACUUAGGCUAAUCUCGCAUACGACCUACGGUUGAAAGCGGGGGAUCGCAAGACCUCGCGCGACCGGAUUAGCCGAUGUCCGAUUAGCUGGGGGGCGGGGUAAAGGCACAACAAGGCGACGAUCGGUAGCUGGUCUGAGAGGAAGACCAGCCACCCUGGCACUGAGACACGGCCGAGACUCCUGCGGGGGGCAGCAGUGGGGAAUAUUGGACAAUGGGCGAGAGCCUGAUACAGCCAUGCCGCGUGGGUGAAGAAGGCCUUCGGGUUGUAGAGCCCUUUUGUCCGGGGAGAAAUCGUCUGGGCUAAUACCCCGGGAGGAUGACGGUACCGGAAGAAUAAGCACCGGCUAACUUCGUG